UGUCUGGGAAAUUGCCUGAUGGAGGGGGAUAACUACUGGAAACGGUAGCUAAUACCGCAUAACGUCGCAAGACCAAAGAGGGGGACCUUCGGGCCUCUUGCCAUCAGAUGUGCCCAGAUGGGAUUAGCUAGUAGGUGGGGUAAUGGCUCACCUAGGCGACGAUCCCUAGCUGGUCUGAGAGGAUGACCAGCCACACUGGAACUGAGACACGGUCCAGACUCCUACGGGAGGCAGCAGUGGGGAAUAUUGCACAAUGGGCGCAAGCCUGAUGCAGCCAUGCCGCGUGUGUGAAGAAGGCCUUCGGGUUGUAAAGCACUCUCAGCGAGGAGGAAGGUGGUGAGCUUAAUACGCUCAUCAAUUGACGUUACUCGCAGAAGAAGCACCGGCU
rnacentral:rRNA from 1 species